rnacentral:rRNA from 1 species
AUGCCAUGCAAUUGGGAGGUUACUUUUCCUCCCAAGAAGAUGAGGAAGCCAAGAACUCUGCUGGCAAAAGCCACGAUCAUGAAUGGAAAACGUUUGAAGACGGCGCGCCGGCCGAAGCUUCGCCGCGUAGCUCGCUUUAGUUUUCCACCGCCUACCUCUUCAUCUUAUCUCUUCAGAACACACUACAGCCAUUCGUUCCCCUCAAGUCUCUCUUCCCAAUCCCAAUCUCCUCAGUCAUGGCAUGACCAUCCCCCGGCGAGCAGCUCCUUCCAUGGUGCUCGUACGGCUCCUACCUCUCCACGGCUGUGA